UGAAAGUUUGGAAUUUUAAUACUACCUAG
rnacentral:piRNA from 1 species